rnacentral:rRNA from 1 species
GAUGAACGCUGGCGGCGUGCUUAACACAUGCAAGUCGAACGAUGAAGCCCAGCUUGCUGGGUGGAUUAGUGGCGAACGGGUGAGUAACACGUGAGUACCCUGCCCUUAACUCUGGGAUAAGCCUGGGAAACUGGGUCUAAUACCGGAUAGGAGCGUCCACCGCAUGGUGGGUGUUGGAAAGAUUUAUCGGUUUUGGAUGGACUCGCGGCCUAUCCGCUUGUUGGUGAGGUAAUGGCUCACCAAGGCGACGACGGGUAGCCGGCCUGAGAGGGUGACCGGCCACACUGGGACUGAGACACGGCCCAGACGCCUACGGGAGGCAGCAGUGGGGAAUAUUGCACAAUGGGCGCAAGCCUGAUGCAGCGACGCCGCGUUAGGGAUGACGGCCUUCGGGGUGUAAACCUCUUUCAGUAGGGAAGAAGCGAAAGUGACGGUACCUGCAGAAGAAGCACCGGCUAACUACGUG